UACGGAGGGGGCAAGCGUUGUUCGGAAUUACUGGGCGUAAAGGGCUCGUAGGCGGCCAACUAAGUCGGAUGUGAAAUCCCCCAGGCUUAACCUGGGAACUGCAUCCGAUACUGGAUGGCUUGAAUUCGGGAGAGGGAUGCAGAAUUCCAGGUGUAGCGGUGAAAAUGCGUAGAUAUCUGGAGGAAUACCGGUGGCGAAGGCGGCAUCCUGGACCGACAUUGACGCUGAGGAGCGAAAAGCUAGGGGGAGCAAACGGG
rnacentral:rRNA from 1 species